UAUUUGGUGGCGACCGGCGCACGGGUGCGUAACACGUAUACAAUCUACCUUCAACAGGGGGAUAGCCUUUCGAAAGAGAGAUUAAUACCCCGUAAUAUAUUUAACGGCAUCGUUGAAUAUUGAAAGCUCCGGCGGUUGAAGAUGAGUAUGCGUCUGAUUAGCUAGUAGGUGAGGUAACGGCUCACCUAGGCUACGAUCAGUAGGGGAUCUGAGAGGACUAACCCCCACACUGGUACUGAGACACGGACCAGACUCCUACGGGAGGCAGCAGUAAGGAAUAUUGGUCAAUGGAGGCAACUCUGAACCAGCCAUGCCGCGUGCAGGAUGAAGGCCCUAUGGGUCGUAAACUGCUUUUAUACCAGAGAAAACCCCAGUACGUGUACUGGGUUGAUAGUAUGGUAAGAAUAAGCAUCGGCUAACUUCGUGCCAGCAGCCGCGGUAAGACGAAGGAUGCAAGCGUUAUCCGGAUUCAUUGGGUUUAAAGGGUGCGUAGGCGGACUUGUAAGUCAGUGGU
rnacentral:rRNA from 1 species